rnacentral:lncRNA from 1 species
CAAGCAUGGAAGACAGCCAAGACAGAAAGGAAACGGCAGCGCAACCGAGGGAAGGAGUCACCCCACUCCCGCCCCUGGGAAACAUAACUGAGAAAGCAAUUAGGAGACUCCGGAAUGUGUGUAGACAUCUUGGCGAGAGCCAGGAGAAUGCUGUGUGUGCAGAGAGGGAUCAGCUGGAGAAAGAAAAGGAACAGUACAAACAUGAAUUCAAAUAAAACGCCACCGUGAAGGGACUGAGUAGCAAAAUGGAUGAAGAUGAAAACAUUGACAGGAUGAAGACUGAGCCCAGGAAGGCGACUCCGCAGAUUGUGGACCUAGAAAUAAAUUGUCAAGGAAAAGCUGAGAAACACGGAGCACAAAUCAGAUUGACACGUACAACUGGAGUAUAAAGACCAAUGGGUGACAGCUUCAAAUCUAUCCGCAGUCAUCAUCUUUCAAGCAUGAGAGGAAUUCCAG